AGGCUAACAAUAAAUCCCCGACCCGCUACACAGGUAUACCCCUAGAGUCUUGAGGAUAGACAAGGGAAAAGCGAGCUGAAGAAUGAGUAUAAAUUGUGGAUGCUUUAUAUCUACCUUUUCUGAAAAUCCUCCCGUUUCUAAAAAAACCGGCGGAUAACGCAUGUUGAUAUCUCGACGAGGAAAAAAAAUUAAAUAAAAAAUAUAUAGUCAUAACUCCAACCAAUCUUCCAAGCACAAGACGAUGCAGCUUAAAUACCGCACUUUGAUCGCUGUGAUAAUGGCACAGGAUUUUGGGAUUCCUCCCGCAAACGCACCCAGCAGUGUAACAGAGGUGUGGGUGGCUCCGAAGUUCCCCAUUGAUCAGCUGGCCACAAGAAACCAGAUGAUGCCCAACUGUCCUCUUAUUUUAUCGGCGG
rnacentral:sRNA from 1 species